rnacentral:rRNA from 1 species
AAUUUGAAAUCUGGCCCUUCCGGGGUCCGAGUUGUAAUUUGUAGAGAGUGCUUCGGGGGAGACCGCGGUCUAAGUCCAUUGGAACAUGGCGUCCCAGAGGGUGAGAAUCCCGUAUGUGACCGCGGCUCGAGCCCAUGUGAAGCCUCUUCGACGAGUCGAGUUGUUUGGGAAUGCAGCUCUAAAUGGGUGGUAAAUUUCAUCUAAAGCUAAAUACUGGCUGGAGACCGAUAGCGCACAAGUAGAGUGAUCGAAAGAUGAAAAGCACUUUGGAAAGAGAGUUAAACAGUACGUGAAAUUGUUGAAAGGGAAGCGCUUGCAACCAGACCUGCCCGUAGGCGAUCAACCGCUGUUCUCAGCGGUGCAUUCGUUCUGCGAUCAGGCCAGCAUCGGUUCGGGCGGUCGGAUAAAGGCCUUGGGAAUGUAGCUUCCCUUCGGGGGAGUCUUAUAGCCCUCGGUGCAAUGCGGCCAGCCGGGACCGAGGACCGCGCUUCGGCUAGGAUGCUGGCGUAAUGGUUGUAAGCCACCC